rnacentral:lncRNA from 10 species
GUUGCUGUGAAGUAUCCCAACUACAUGAGGCAAUAGGGGAGGGGCCUGAGAGCUGGUGCUGAGGAACCUGGCAUUAGUGGCUGGAAAGAGGUGGUCUAUGGAACACAGAGAAGGAGCAUAUGGUAACACUGCUGUCUGCAAUAUUUCGAAGGUAGAUGAAGGACCUAAUGGACUUGUAGCUCUACCAGAGAGAAUGGACAACAGGAUUGUGAAACUCCUAGAGACAAAGUGAAACCUAAUGCAUAAGUGAUCUUUAAGAAUUUCUUCCGACUUCAUUGACCCUAACCUAUCCAGUUUCUCCCUGGAACAUGUAACGAAAUGAGUGGAAUUCUCACAGGACUGCCCCUCUCCCACUCUGAUGUGCAGCUUUAAGAAGACCAGGUAUAGUUAAUUUUACCCCCAUGGACCUCGUGCUGGUUAAAUGAGAGGUUAUAUCACUUUUAGAAGUCUUCCAAAGUUCAUAUUCAGAGCGUCGCAUUCUGUUGCCCAGGCUGGAGUGCAGUGGCAUGAUCUUGG